GUGGGUGAUCUGCCCUGCACUUUGGGAUAAGCCUGGGAAACUGGGUCUAAUACCGAAUAUGACCAUGCGCCUCCUGGUGUGUGGUGGAAAGCUUUUGCGGUGUGGGAGGGGCCCGCGGCCUAUCAGCUUGUUGGUGGGGUAAUGGCCUACCAAGGCGACGACGGGUAGCCGGCCUGAGAGGGUGACCGGCCACACUGGGACUGAGAUACGGCCCAGACUCCUACGGGAGGCAGCAGUGGGGAAUAUUGCACAAUGGGCGCAAGCCUGAUGCAGCGACGCCGCGUGAGGGAUGACGGCCUUCGGGUUGUAAACCUCUUUCAGCACAGACGAAGCGCAAGUGACGGUAUGUGCAGAAGAAGGACCGGCCAACUACGUGCCAGCAGCCGCGGUAAUACGUAGGGUCCGAGCGUUGUCCGGAAUUACUGGGCGUAAAGAGCUCGUAGGUGGUUUGUCGCGUUGUUCGUGAAAACUCACAGCUUAACUGUGGGCGUGCGGGCGAUACGGGCAGACUUGAGUACUGCAGGGGAGACUGGAAUUCCUGGUGUAGCGGUGGAAUGCGCAGAUAUCAGGAGGAACACCGGUGGCGAAGGCGGGUCUCUGGGCAGUAACUGACGCUGAGGAGCGAAAGCGUGGGGAGCGAACAGGAUUAGAUACCCUGGUAGUCCACGCCGUAAACGGUGGGUACUANGUGUGNNUNUCCUUCCUUG
rnacentral:rRNA from 1 species